AGUUAUCGGCGUACAGGGACGAACGCUGGCGGCGUGACCUAACACAUGCAAGUCGAGCGAGGAGAUUCCUUCGGGAUGAUCCUAGCGGCGGACGGGUGAGUAACACGUGGGCAACCUGCCUCAUAGAGAGGAAUAGCCUUCGAAAGGGAGAUUAAUACCUCAUAACAUUGCAGUUUCGCAUGGAACAGCAAUUAAAGGAGUAAUCCGCUAUGAGAUGGGCCCCGCGGCGCAUUAGCUAGGUUGGUGAGGUAACGGCUCACCAAGGCGACGAUGCGUAGCCGACCUGAGAGGGUGAUCGGCCACAUUGGGACUGAGACACGGCCCAGACUCCUACGGGAGGCAGCAGUGGGGAAUAUUGCACAAUGGGGGAAACCCUGAUGCAAGCAACGCCGCGUGAGUGAUGACGGCCUUCGGGUUGUAAAGCUCUGUCUUCAGGGACGAUAAUGACGGUACCUGAGGAGGAAGCCACGGCUAACUACGUGCCAGCAGCGGC
rnacentral:rRNA from 1 species